UGAAUAAGUUUUGAUACGGGUGCCGACCGUUCCGCAGGGAACGACAGGCCUAACAGGGAAGUCCGGUGAGAAUCCGGCACGGACCCGCCACUGUAAGAAGUUCGGAUGGCAAGCAAGCCUUCCGCAAGCAAGCGCCUUUCAAGUCACUGGGAAACCGGGAAGACGGCGCUCGUGAGCUUCGAGUCAGGAGACCUGCCCGCAUCGUGAACGCUAC
rnacentral:ncRNA from 1 species